UCAAUAAGCGGAGGAAAAGAAACUAACAAGGAUUCCCCUAGUAACGGCGAGUGAAGCGGGAUGAGCUCAAAUUUGUAAUCUGGCGGUCUCUGGCCGUCCGAGUUGUAGUCUGGAGAAGCGUUUUCCGCGUCGGACCGUGUACAAGUCCCUUGGAACAGGGCGUCGUAGAGGGUGAGAAUCCCGUCUUUGACACGGACUGCCGAUGCUUUGCGAUGCGCUCUCGAAGAGUCGAGUUGUUUGGGAAUGCAGCUCAAAACGGGUGGUAAAUUCCAUCUAAAGCUAAAUAUGGGCGAAAGACCGAUAGCGAACAAGUACCGUGAGGGAAAGAUGAAAAGCACUUUGGAAAGAGAGUUAAACAGUACGUGAAAUUGUUGAAAGGGAAACGCUUGAAGUCAGUCGCGUCUCCUGGGACUCAGCCUUGCUUCUGCUCGGUGUAUUUCCUGGGGCGACGGGCCAGCAUCGAUUUCGACCGUCGGAGAAGGGCCUUGGGAACGUGGCACCCUUUGGGUGUGUUAUAGCCCUCGGUCGUAUGCGACGGUCGGGAUCGAGGACCGCAGCACGCCUUUCUGGCCGGGUUCGCCCACGUAACGUGCUUAGGAUGCUGGCGUAAUGG
rnacentral:rRNA from 1 species